rnacentral:lncRNA from 1 species
AAAAUGUACAUUUUAUCAAUUUAAAAUAUCCUGUAUUUUCAGACUGUUUCCUACAUUUUCUAUCUUUUCUAUUCUUAAUGUUGAUUUUUGGCUAGCACGUUAUUUCUCAUCCUUUUAUUUUUAAACUAUCUGUGUCAUUUUGCUUUUUAUGACUCGGAUUUGUUUUCUGUUUGCCAUUGAAAUGUACUUCGGUAUUGUUCAUCAGCUGUGUGCUGUUGAAUAAGAAACCAUUCCAAACCUCAGUCGCUUGGAACCACCCUCCUUUCUUGCUCAGGAUUCCGUGGGUCAGCGCACUGAGCUGGCCUCAGCUGGGCCUUUCUUCUGCUGGUGCUACCUUGGGGCGCUUGGGCAGGUGCAGCCACCUGGUGGCUCCGCUGGGACCUCUCUUGCCCCAAGUCUGGCGGUUGGUGCUGGCUCUCUUCUGGGCCUCCUUCUGCAUGGUGCUUCUGCCCACACGGCCGAGCCUGGGGCUUGUCUCCUUCAGCAGUAUUCCAAGAUGGUGGUGGUCCAAGCUGCAGAGCAUCUUGAUGGCUAGGUCUGGAAGUCUCAUAACAUCCCAUCUGCAUCAUUCUGCUGGGGGAAGCCAACCACCCCGGAGCUGGACCAUGGAGAAGAGGACUCUGCUGCCCAUUGUGGAGAAUGGCAAAGUAUUAUUCGUAAUGGGUUUGAAGCACAGGGAUAUAAGGAAUCAUUUCACUGUCUUUACAUUGUGCUACCGCACACACUGGAUUGAUCAACCAUUUGCUUUAUUCUGGGUUUUUUUUUCCCCAUUGUUGUUGUUCCCAUGGUUUAGAUAUAUUAGUAUCUGUGGUGGAUCAACUAACGGUCAACUUGGGAAGCCCAGCUGAACUGAGUCAGUACAGCAUCCCAGGCUUUCCCACAUGGUGGUGGAAGAGUUUCCAAGAGCUUCAAGAGAGCAGUGCUAUGGUUUGCAUGUGUCUCCUCCAAACUUCAAGCAUGGACGCUUAAUGCUCAAGGUGAUGGUGCUAAGAGGCACCCUUACUACUCUAUACUGGACAUACCCCAUAAACAGCACACCAGCAGUCCGUUGACAGAUGAGAACACGGAGGCCCACAAAUGUGUCCUUGGUCACACGGCGAAUGAGUGGCAAGAAUGGGACUGAAAUUCAGCUGUAUUUGACUCCAGACUCUUUCCGCUACUUAACUUGGUCCAAUCUGUGGUUGAAUUGUACAGCACAAAUGUAUCUCUCGGGCUGACAUUUCCUUCUUUGAGGAUGAAACUCAGUAACAACAACAACAACAACAAAAACAACAACGGCCGGAGAUGUGGUUCAGCGGCACUGCACCUGCCUGGAAAGCGCAAGGUCCUGAGUUCGAUCUCCUGUACCAGAAAAACCACAACAACAAUAACAACUAUCAGGAAAAACUACACAGUCUUUUCAAGUUUGUGAUGAGAUCUCUAUUAUCCAGUUUCCUGCCUAGAAAUUUGAACUUCUGCCCACCCAGUACAGAAGGACCCUUUAAUAGCUCUGAUUAGGAUGAUUCUAAGUAUUUGAAGAAAUAUAUGGUAGGCAUUUUGGUUAUUGUUGCUAUGGCCUAUAACAAAAAUAACCUUUGUUAAGCCACAAAUGGAAUUAGAUCUGAAAUCAGGCCAUGAGAAAUAGCAACUAUAUAUUUUACUUCCUUUGACAGUUAAAUAGGUUGAAAGGUUGCAGUGCUAAUAGAACUGUAGAAUACAUGAUGAAAGCUGUAACAUUUGAGUUCAGCCCGAUGUUAACCCUGUCUGCUGAUUUUGAUCAUUUGUGACCAGCAGUAAAAUGUUAGUAUGCAAAUGUGGAAGUUUACAAAAUGAUAUUAUGUGUUAAUGUGGGUAAGUUAAAUGAUAAACUAUGCAAAUUUAGAACAACAUCCAACUACUCAUUUGUGUAUACAUGUGUAUAUCUGUAUGUACAAAUAUUCAUAUACAUAUGUAUAGAUACUGUCCAUAUCUGUGUGUUUAUAUGCAUUACACAUGUAUAAGCUUCUAAUACUGAGUAGCUUUUAAAAAUUUGCAGAUCUUGUUUUUAUUACUAUAGCUCACAGUUUAAAAGCUAAAAGGGACAUAGAUAUGUUGCAAUUAGGACGAUCUCCCAAAUCAUAGGCUUCUAAAUCUUUAAGUAAACCAGCA